rnacentral:rRNA from 1 species
ACAACCUGCCUAUCAGAGGGGAACAACAGUUAGAAAUGACUGCUAAUACCGCAUAUACCUAAGCAUCACAUGAUGCAAUAGGGAAAGGAGCAAUCCGCUGAUAGAUGGGCUUGCGUCUGAUUAGCUAGUUGGUGGGGCAACGGCCUACCAAGGCAACGAUCAGUAGCCGGACUGAGAGGUUGAACGGCCACAUUGGGACUGAGAUACGGCCCAGACUCCUACGGGAGGCAGCAG